GUGGAUUAGAUACCCUAGUAGUCCACGCCCUAAACGAUGUCAACUGGUUGUUGGGGGAGUGAAAUCCCUUAGUAACGAAGCUAACGCGUGAAGUUGACCGCCUGGGGAGUACGGUCGCAAGAUUAAAACUCAAAGGAAUUGACGGGGACCCGCACAAGCGGUGGAUGAUGUGGAUUAAUUCGAUGCAACGCGAAAAACCUUACCUACCCUUGACAUGUCCAGAAUCCUGCAGAGAUGCGGGAGUGCCCGAAAGGGAAUUGGAACACAGGUGCUGCACGGUUGUCGACAACU
rnacentral:rRNA from 1 species